GACGAACGCUGGCGGCGUGCAUAACACAUGCCAGUCGAACGGUAAGGCCCUUCGGGGUACACGAGUGGCGAACGGGUGAGUAACACGUGGGUGAUCUGCCCUGCACUUCGGGAUAAGCCUGGGAAACUGGGUCUAAUACCGGAUAGGACCACUGCCUGCAUGGGUGGUGGUGGAAAGCUUUUGCGGUGUGGGAUGGGCCCGCGGCCUAUCAGCUUGUUGGUGGGGUGAUGGCCUACCAAGGCGACGACGGGUAGCCGGCCUGAGAGGGUGACCGGCCACACUGGGACUGAGAUACGGCCCAGACUCCUACGGGAGGCAGCAGUGGGGAAUAUUGCACAAUGGGCGCAAGCCUGAUGCAGCGACGCCGCGUGAGGGAUGACGGCCUUCGGGUUGUAAACCUCUUUCAGCACCGACGAAGCGCAAGUGACGGUAGGUGCAGAAGAAGGACCGGCCAACUACGUGCCAGCAGCCGCCGUAA
rnacentral:rRNA from 1 species